UAUCGACCAACUUCUAUCAUUUUGGCUUAUAUAUACACGCACAUGGCUAAGUAAGAUGAAAUAUACGUUCUUGAAACAAACAGCUGUGGCCCCUUUGAGAAGAACCUCCUUCUUAGAAGGCAUUAGAAAGAAAGCAGCUUUAUUUUUAAGCUUCCUUGACCACCGUUAUGUUGAUGAACUUCCCGCCCACUCAUGGAAAAGAGUUCCACAUUCCUAACACCUCCAGCUCUGAGUCUCCAAAUUCACCUUCACUUCGCAUUGACCCCAGGAAACAUAGAUUUGGGCUCCCUUUUGAAGACGAGGAAGGAGGUUUAUCUCUAGUAAAAACAGGCCCUCGGUGGACAAAAGAAGUGAUGAUUGAUCAAACGGGAUUCAGAAUUCCAGGCAUGCCAACAUAUUGCUAGGUUAAAUGGUAGAGAUGACCCCACGACCCUGUGCUGUUGGAAAAUGCAUAAAAGAACUCUGGCAACAUGCUCCACAUUCCUAUUUGUACUUGAUAAUCUUACAUGUUUUACAUUCUACCUGUGGUGACUUUUCACUCAGCUCGCAGUGGGACUUAUUCAGCCAUAAUUUGCAGAGAAUCCUCUUGCUGGAUGUAUGCAACUGGCACCUAGGAAGGACGGGGUAGAGGAGAGGAGAGCAGAGAGAGUAAGAUGGUGCCACUGACACCAGGAAGUGCCCAGCCUGAGAACACGGAAUACAGCAGAGCUAUGGAUUAACUGCCAUGUGAGCUCAGGGAGAGAAUGACUCAUGCUGCCUGAGGUUGAUCUCGAAUGCCUUGUGGUGUUUUGUGACCUAUGAAACAUUGGCAGCCCACAGUUGCCGCCUCACCAUUCCAUUUUGCUCCUCAGCACUGCCAAGGUUAGAUUUCUGGUCUUAACCUCAGCCCUCCUCCUGUCUGCAUCCCUUAAAACCCUACACAAGCCCCAGCACCAUUUCUCUAAGCAAACGCUUACUCGAUUCCAGUUAGCCAGUUUUUCUAUUCCUCACUCCAAAUUAAAUUGAAGUGUCCCUCUCUAUUGCCUGUUAAGCAGUCACGUGUAGAAAGCUUUGGGGGAUACUGAGGGUCCCUUUUCCUUCAGAAAGCUUAUCAGCCAGUGGGAGAGUUAGACACGUUAAACAUGUAAUUGGAAAAAGAUGCAGUAACAGAGGGGCAAAGAGCAUGUGGCGAGCACUUAAAGCAGUGCCAAGUUUCGGUCUGAUGGGACCACAGAAGUUUUCACAAAGGUCUGGCAUGUAAGCUGAACCAACAGGCAAGGACACCUUUCUCUGAGGCAAGGAAAUGUGCAGGCAAAGGACUAAAGACACAUGGGUAGGUGACUAAGAGCAUCACCAGAGCAUGAGCUACAUGGAGGAACUGAAUAAAGGGCUGCUGAUCUGCACCCCAUUGGAUCCAAUAAAAAGUUACUCUGGGGAUAAUGGGGGUGAUUUGAAGUUUUCUUAGGAAAACAAACAAACAAACAAACAAACAAACAAAACAAUGGCUUACACUUGACCUCUGAUUUAGAAUGGUAACUCUGGAAGCAGUGAGAAAGACAGAUUGAAGAGACUCAAGUCAAGCUAAAAUGGAUCCAUGGCAAUGAACCAGUAACAGUGGGGAUAGAGGACUGUAAGAAAACAAGCCCAGGUAGAGGCUGAAGUCAAUGUUUUCCCAGUAUGGACAAGGCUUCACUGUCACAUCUCCACUUCUACCCUUCCCUUUCAACAACCAAACAAGUGACCGAAGAAAUCAGAUGUUAAUUGAAUAAAAUGUUCUCUAUCAAGAACAGUACUGUCCAAUAGGAACUUCUGCAGUAAUGGAUAUUGAUCACUUGCAAUGUGGCCACUGUGACUCCAUAACUGGAUUUUUAAAUGUUAUUUAAUAUUAACUAAUUUUAAUUUACAUAGCCUCAUGUGGCUAAUGCCACCAUAUUGACAGUGCCACCCUGGAGAAUAAAAUUUUACUGACUGAGUCAAGACAUUCAAAACAUUUCUGAAAAAUUUACAUUAUAUUUCUACCAAUUAUCAGAUGACAGUGGCUUUGCUGGAUUUUAAAGAUGAUAUCCAUCUACCUUUCAAAAGCCCCAAUUAAUAAAUAAGAUGCUGCACUUAUAUUUAGCUC